AUCAGUCGCGGCGUCACAGCUGACGACUACCUGUCCGAUUGGUUCAUCGACAUUCCACGUCUCCAGCGGAGGACUACAAAAGCUCGGAACUCAAGCAACGGCGCUUCACUUGGCAGCAGCGGCAGCGGCACAACGCAUCACCUAAUUGUCUCCUGUAUUUACCGCAGGACAUUGCCCGGCGAGCAAAAAAACCGAAGUAACUGCCGAAUUCAUCUGCAUUUUCGCUGACACAUCGUUGCCGGCACAAGCAAGAUAGAAGCCUUCGCACGCCCUCGUAUCAGUUGCGGCGUCACAGCUGACGACUACCUGUCCGAUUGGUUCAUCGACAUUCCACGUCUCCAGCGGAGGACUACAAAUGCUCGGAACUCAAGCAACGGCGCUUCACUUGGCAGCAGCGGCAGCGGCACAACGCAUCACCUAAUUGUCUCCUGUAUUUACCGCAGAACAUAGCGAAAGAAUAGAUUGUCUUUCUGCAUGGAAGAAGAAGACAAUACAAACCAAGAGUUGUGAGUCAGCGCCGACGUAAGUGGUGAGGCUUGGACACAGGCUGUGCAGCUUGAACGCAGUUUCACGGAGGACGUUGCUGCUGUUGGCCGGUUGGCGACGCCCUGGUCGCCGAUUACAGCUUCGCUGGAGACUCAUGAGAGCGGCGGCAAUGGCUAUUGGACUGACUUUGCAGAAAACACCUCGCCAUGGAAGCGUGAGCCAUCAGCCGAGUCUGCGGUGAUCGAGGCGUCCGUCCAUCUGAUGCCUGUCCCUUUACGCUGGCUGGGUGGCCGUGUCCCGAUCAACAGAGAAAUCUGUACGAUGAAAAGUGGUUUGAGCAUGUCGCGUAGGUUGCCACACCCACUGUCGGAACUGGAAGCCUGUUGUGCAGAUUUUUACUUUAUGUUGUUUCCGUUAUUCUUUCUUUUUGCGUCUUUCAUAACGGACAAUCCUUCUGCGUUAAGAGGGUAACAAGCAUUGUAAUCUCGGUAUUGCUGCCAAUCCUGCAGGUGGCAUCCUCGGUGUGCUUUUAAAUAAGUAUAUCACACAAUCGUGGAUCGGCCGUGAGCACAUACCCUGGGAACUGGGUGUUUAGGAAAUAUUCAUUUUAAUCACGCAAUCAUUACCUUUGUCUUCAGUUAGAAUGAAAAAAAAGAACAUUCGUCACGAUGGACAAUUUUAGACAUCCGUGGCAUGUCUGAUCUGAGCAUUUGAUCUUUUCACCUGGAAUGUGUCUAGCAGGUACGACCUUGAGGAUAGAAGAGAUGGUGCAACGGAGUACGAGCAGUGAAACGCGUGUAGACUUGUGCCGUCGAGCUCGUGCCGACGGGCAUGAGUAGCUUUGUUAUCUUUGGCGGUGCCGUGGCUGAAGCAAUAGAAUGCCACAGAGCUCCCCUCCUAGAGCCGUCGGCUGCUGCUCUGCAGACUGCGGGGGACGGCACGAUUCGGUUUGCAGUGGUUGCGCCUCCAGAAAGGCGUUCAUGUACUGCGAGCAGGGCGGCGAAGUAUAGAGCAGGAAAAACGGCUUUCGGAAGACGUUCAGGGUAGUUGACGCUGAGGUCGGGCAAUGAGGCGGAGGACAUGGGGGAAAUCGACCCGGUCCUUCUGUGGGUCCGGCUCGGUCAGCACGAUGUGUGCAGCCUCGGACUCAAGGAGGGAUGCCGGCCGACAGCAGUGCCGAUGCAACAUUCCGGAAGAAGAGGAACCGAGCGGAAAGCGAAUGCCUGACGUAGCAACAACGAGACCCUUGUCACCUAGCGAGGUGCCUUUUUGUGAACAGUUCAGUAACGUCGAUGAAUGUUCACUUGUGGAGCCGGAGGGGCGAGCGAUUUGGUAGCAGCACAUUGCUAGGAGAUUCCGGUGCUAGAUGCAACGGGACAGAGGAGUUGACGGAGGCGCUGUGGGUGCGGAGGCUUUGAAAGUGGAAGAUCCGCCUACUCCAUUUUCGCCCAGAAAGGCCGAGCCGUUGCCAUGCCCCGGGCAGCGAUGAACGUUCAAUUGGAUGACUGGCGCUCGGAGUCGAUCAUCAUGUCGGGGUUACAAUUUGUAUCGCAUUCGACGUCGAGGAUGGAAGAGAUGGUGUGACCAACUCCGAGUUUAGCUGUGAAAACGUUCUGUUUCUUCCCGUAUCGUCGAGCUCGUUCCGACGAAUAAAUAGCUUGCUUUUAAUCACUGCAGUCAUUACGAUAUAGUUCAUGUAAGUGUUUUGCAACACUCGUUUUUGACGGUGCCGACACUGAACAGAUAGACCACCACAGGCCCAUAUGUGUAUCUGUUAAAUAUAUUAAAUGCCUUUUUGCAUUGUUGUGUGUUUCAUCUUUGUCUUCCAGAGUUUAGUGCUCACCUGUAGUAAUAAAUGUCAAAUUUCAAUCUUUCAUGCUUAAAAUGAAGCUCUAUCAAACAAAUAGGAAUUUAAUUAAACUAGUAAUUGGG